UCCUGCAGAUCACAAAGAGCAGUGUUAUGUGACACCCUGCAAGCCAAAAACCAGUUCAGCACAACUUUUUCACUUGGAAAAUAUUUGAGGUGCUUCAAAUGUGCACAGUGCACUGCUUACAAGACUCGGGUCCAGGCCUGAAACAGAGCAGUAUUUAAGAACACAGAAGCCAGUCUUUCAGAGCUGAAACUUAUGCAGCCGGAGUUCUCGUCCUCUGAACAUACCUGUGGAGCAUACUAACACCAACUACUAUAAACAGAAUGCUCACCUUCUAAACCCUCCCAGAGGCUGACUUGCUAUUGUGUUUCAGGGAGGAAUGUAGGGUGCUGACAGGCAUAUGGUCAUGAUUUAAUAAACGUUAUUUUGAGCAUUGUUCAGUAUAGCAGGGAGAUCAGAGAAGCCCAGGGAUACUGUGAAAGUUUUUACUUUUAACAACUUCUUGUUUUCCUCCUGGAAUGUAAAAUACAUUAUGUGUGUGUACCACGAGGACUCAUUGACUCUAAAAGAUAAACUAAUCACACGUCAUUAAGUAUACAGUAACAACAAGCCUACAGAAGACACACAGCUCUCUGGAAAGCACCAUCACAAUGAUUAGACUAUUUCAUUACAGACACUCUAACAUUUGGCCUGUGAGGGACUCCAGCCUAGGGGCACUUUAUAGUCACCUCUGCCUUGGCUUCCCACCAGAGUACAUACACCCUCGACACUGGUCAUGCACAGCGACGUGCAGGUCACACUGUAGUGAAGAAAAAUACCUUUCAAAUUAUAUGAGGCCAGAUUAGCAAUCUUUUCACCUUUUUUUUUCUCUCCCAAGUUUCAUCUAUGGUUGUUUUAUUGCUUUACUAACCCAUUAUUUAAUAUCAACAGUCCAAUUUCUCCACAAUAUUCAUAGGAUAAACUUAAAAGUUUAAUUGAAUAUCCCUGAAAAGAUCAUUCUGUUGUACACUUUCUUAAGUGUGAUAGUUCCAUUUAAAAAUUGAAGACAUUGAGUUUUUUUUUUAAUUCAAACAAUGCAGAGGUAUCACCAUAUUUAAAGAGUCUAAUUUUAGCAUCUCCAGCUUCCUCACUUUAGAACUCCUCCGGAAGUAGGCCCUGUCAUAGACACGCGCUCUUCUCAGGCACAGACUGCCCUGUGCAUCAAUAUGUGCAUCCCCUCUGUUUACAGACAGACUUCUUUUCACUUCAGUGAGAUGAUAUGAUAUAAUAACUAUUGUGUAUUUUGUCGUGUUGCCUAGAUAUUUACUUUAUAAAUUAUGGAAAUGUCAUAAUUAAGCUAUAUCUAUACUAAUACAAAUCUAAAGAAUGCUUUAGACUAUUCCAAGCAGGUCUGUGUGCAGAAGGCUGUGGAUGAACUUCAGGUGCUGCCGUCUUCAGGAAGAACAGCGACCAGGUACUGGUUAUUUCACAUUGUUAGAACUUAAUGUGUGAGGACCUAAGAUAGACUCUUUCAGAGACUCAACAAAAGUCUUUAUUGUUUUACAGUACUUUUAAUCUUUCCUUUAGGGUAGCUGGUUUUGUAUUCAGUUUGGACCAUGUGAUGUCUUGACACUGGUCAUGUGACACAGGCUGCGAUAGGCACAAAUCCCUGGGAAGCAACAAAAGAAGAAAGAGUAAAAAGAAAAAGCUGAGAAAAAGCUUGCAGUUUGGAAAAAGGCCAAAGUACCCCGGUGGAAGCGUUUUGAUCAGUGAACUGACACAUGUGUGCAAUAUUAAUAGGCAAUCUUUUAGAUUCAAGAUAUCUAAUUUCUGAUUAAAGAUCCAAUUCUUGUGUUCAUAACUCAAGUGGCUUCUAAAGAUACAGAUAUAUUAAAACUCUGUUUUGAGUUUAACUUAACCUAUAAUUGAAACUUUCAGGCAACACUAAAAGCGGCCAGCCUACUUUUACAUUAACAUCAUUUUCUUCAAUGGAACCCUGCUUCUUAGGUUUGACAAUAUUGAUGUGGAACUGUGUGGUUUCCUUGCUAACUCAUGUCUGUAUUUCUAGAUAAGAAUCAAAGAUACCCCUGUAAUUGUUACAAAAUAAAUAAUAAUAGAAAACCCUCAUGUUUCAAAAGGAAAUAAACCUAACAAUACUUAAAGAUACAUUACUAUACAGCUUACUUCUAUUCACUGAAGGAAAAAAAAACCCACUCUGUAUCAUUAAUCCUUAUCUGAGGUGGUAUACAGUGAUAGAAAUCUAUACUCAGCCUAAUAAUAAAAAAAUUAAAGUUUCUUCUAACAUAUCAGUACACUAUUGUUUAUAGGGAUUUAAAAUUUUUUAAAUUUAAAAGCUUUUAAAAGCCAGUAAGUUGAACCAUUACAAAUUAAUCCUGACUUUAAUAACUGGUUAAAGACCCCUUUAGCUUUAUAAGCAACAAAAAAUAUUAAAGCCUCUGAUCACAGUGAGCGUUUCUCAUUUCUCCUCUAACCAUUUGUUAUUUAAUCCAAUACUAGUAAUCCAAUUUGUCCAUCAGACUUUUAAAGGGCAGAAUGCAACUUCCUCCGCUUAGACACUUUUCAAAGUACAAUAUAUUUUUCAAAUGAAUGCUGGAUGUUUCAUUUUUCCCAACUGUUCCUAGCUCUAAUGCAGGAGGAAAAAAAGAACAAGAUGAACAUUGUUCAUACUGAUUAAGUAAGAGCUCAUUAAAGAGCUGUCAGCGCGCUACUUUGAAUAUGCAUGAAGCAUAUAAUCAGAUCUAGUACCGUCACUAGAGGAGAAUACGGUAAGUACAAAGGAUUGAUUUAAUUACUUAGAGUGGGCUGCGGUGGCGAAGCAGUCUUGUUAGUGCAGAAAGAAAAAGAGGUUGUAUUCUGGCACUGCGAUAGAAAAGGCAGUUUUAGCUUCUGCCACAAUACCUAAUCUCAGAGUAAAGCACUUUACACUGUAGCUUAAAAUGAAGACUGCCGUUAUAAAACGCCCAUAAAUCAUUUAAUCUUACUUAACUUACCUUGGAACUACCUCUUCUUUCAAAAUUAUUUUAAAUUUAUAAUUACAACUACAUUUUCAUCACUGCAGAGCCAAUACUGUUUCUUCUGUAAAUGCUAAAUUCUUCUUAGUUUCAUAACCUGAAAAAUGCACUAUUGAAGGCUACUGUGGGGUAAGGUAUGGCAAGAAGAUCUGAGCUAAAGGCUCAGUGUACAUUUGCUGAAAUGGAAUAUUCACCAAUAAGGACAUCACAAAGAACAAGGAGUUCUUACCUUAAAAUUAUUAUAAUCUCUAGCAACAAACAUAUAAACAGUUUGUCUCCUUAAGGAGGUCUGCAUUAUUCUUCCUGUAGGAAUGAGACAUCUUUUUGGAUAUCAAAUGUCGUAAACGUUAGUUUAGUUUAGUUUUUGUUUUUUUUUUAAAUCAGAUACUGUAGCUGGAGCAUGAGCUGCAAAAACACUAAGUAACCAGGGACAAGAGCUGGAAAAAUAAUUGUGUAAAUGAGACUUCAUGCCCUUCUCCUGCUUCUGGAGGGAGCAGGAGUCACUCCACAGAGAGCUGCUUGUGCACGCCAGCAGAAGGAACGGAGUAAAUGUCUCAUAGUCAAGGAGAGCCACCACUUUUACAUUCCAACUCACAAGAGACUGAUCAUCAAGAUAUGACUUCUUUCAGGAACUCAUUCAUCCAAUAAUUUAUUUGUGGUUUUCAUUUAUUCUUUUCAGAAGCAGGGUUUUCACGGUUUAAAAAUAAAGAAGAGUGAGGUUCCAGAUCUGGAAUUCUUCUGUUUUAUACUGCAGUGAUGGGAUUCAGACCCUGGACUUCAUUCAUGAUCAGCAGCCUGGCCUAUACCUGUCCAAAUGAUACAGCCUGUGUGCUUCCCAGGAGGUCCACAGUGACCAAGAACACAGACAGGAGCCUGGCAUGGCUGUCCUCUGUGAGAGCCCCUACCAGCAGCUGACCGAGGCAGAAGCAGAUACUUAAACCCAAGCAUUGAACUGAAGUCUGGGACCCCUAUGGUUGAA